rfam:Triticum aestivum genome assembly, contig: Triticum_aestivum_CS42_TGACv1_scaffold_415885_5BL
GUAGUAUUCCCUCCCUCCCAAAAUUCUUGUCUUACAUUUGUUUAGAUAUGGAUGUAUCUAACACUAAAAUGUAACUAGAUACAUCCGUAUUUAGACAAAUUUAAGACAAGAAUUUUGGGACGGAGGGAGUACAAA